ACACCUCGAGUAUACUUAACCAUCGCAGGGACGUACGGACCUUUUUAAAAACUGUGACUUCCCGCCCAUGGAUCGACCAGGGGUGCUAAAAGUACCUGGUCAACUCAUCAUUCACUAGCUCAGAGGCCUGACAGCUGCAACGUUUCUGCUCUGUGCUCCUCUCGCGGUCAGUAUGCCAGUUGGGAGUAUUGUGACGUCACAGCUGUUGCUGACAGCUUUGCUCGUGGUCGGGGCUGCCUCUGUCACUCGCACCACCUCAGGAA